rnacentral:rRNA from 1 species
AUUGAACGCUGGCGGCAGGCCUAACACAUGCAAGUCGAACGGUAACAGGAAGCAGCUUGCUGCUUUGCUGACGAGUGGCGGACGGGUGAGUAAUGUCUGGGAAACUGCCUGAUGGAGGGGGAUAACUACUGGAAACGGUAGCUAAUACCGCAUAACGUCGCAAGACCAAUGAGGGGGACCUUAGGGCCUCUUGCCAUCGGAUGUGCCCAGAUGGGAUUAGCUAGUAGGUGGGGUAACGGCUCACCUAGGCGACGAUCCCUAGCUGGUCUGAGAGGAUGACCAGCCACACUGGAACUGAGACACGGUCCAGACUCCUACGGGAGGCAGCAGUGGGGAAUAUUGCACAAUGGGCGCAAGCCUGAUGCAGCCAUGCCGCGUGUAUGAAGAAGGCCUUCGGGUUGUAAAGUACUUUCAGCGGGGAGGAAGGGAGUAAAGUUAAUACCUUUGCUCAUUGACGUUACCCGCAGAAGAAGCACCGGCUAACUCCGUG